UGGGGAAUAUUGCACAAUGGGGGGAACCCUGAUGCAGCCAUGCCGCGUGAAUGAAGAAGGCCUUCGGGUUGUAAAGUUCCANNUGNAGUNNGNAUGUANAUAGGUUAAUAGCCUAUCAAAUUGACAUUAAUCACAGAAGAAGCACCGGCUAACUCCGUGCCAGCAGCCGCGGUAAUACGGGGGGUGCGAGCGUUAAUCGGAAUAACUGGGCGUAAAGGGCACGCAGGCGGUGACUUAAGUGAGAUGUGAAAGCCCCGAGCUUAACUUGGGAAUUGCAUUUCAUACUGGGUCGCUAGAGUACUUUAGGGAGGGGUAGAAUUCCACGUGUAGCGGUGAAAUGCGUAGAGAUGUGGAGGAAUACCGAAGGCGAAGGCAGCCCCUUGGGAAUGUACUGACGCUCAUGUGCGAAAGCGUGGGGAGCAAACAGGAUUAGAUACCCUGGUAGUCCACGCUGUAAACGAUGUCGAUUUGGGGAUUGGGCUUUGAGCUUGGUGCCCGUAGCUAACGUGAUAAAUCGACCGCCUGGGGAGUACGGCCGCAAGGUUA
rnacentral:rRNA from 1 species